UCCUACGGGAGGCAGCAGUGGGGAAUAUUGGGCAAUGGGCGCAAGCCUGACCCAGCAACGCCGCGUGAAGGAAGAAGGCUUUCGGGUUGUAAACUUCUUUUCUCAGGGACGAAGCAAGUGACGGUACCUGAGGAAUAAGCCACGGCUAACUACGUGCCAGCAGCCGCGGUAAUACGUAGGUGGCAAGCGUUAUCCGGAUUUACUGGGUGUAAAGGGCGUGUAGGCGGGAAAGCAAGUCAGAUGUGAAAACUCAGGGCUCAACCCUGAGCCUGCAUUUGAAACUGUGUUUCUUGAGUGCUGGAGAG
rnacentral:rRNA from 1 species